rnacentral:lncRNA from 1 species
CAAGUAACCUACAUACAUAGAAGUUUCCUGUCGGCGCGUUAUUUGAGCGGACUUUGCUUUUCCGGCGAGCGGGAAAACCGACCGACGAGUGCGGGCAACACACGACGACAGGGGGCGACGAGGAGUAGGCCUAAUUGCCUUCUAAAACUCAGGAAACAGCGACAGCGAAGCAGAUUCAGAACGACUGUCGCCAACUUUGAAACUACCAAACGCGUCUUCACUGCACAAGCCUGGAAACUCUUCCAUUUUCAUCAACGAAGCUGUCAAAGGCAGCGCCCAGUCGCGUCGCGUCGAGUCCCUGAUGUCCGUGAAUACUUCCUGGUCCAAAGUGUUGACGCGUCGCAAACAUGAUACGAACAGAUGAACAUCAUUCGUGCAAUGGAACCCUGAAGUGUCAUUCUGACCAGAAACAACAGGAAAGCAACAGUUUGAAAAAUGGAUAUCACAGAAAAGAAACGGUAAGUCAAAGUGCAUCACUUCUGCUAAAUGCGUCAAGUUAAACGUGUUAUUCUAAAA